GACGAUCAGUAGCCGACCUGAGAGGGUGAUCGGCCACAUUGGAACUGAGACACGGUCCAAACUCCUACGGGAGGCAGCAGGGGGGAAUAUUGCACAAUGGGCGAAAGCCUGAUGCAGCAACGCCGCGUGAGUGAUGAAGGCUUUCGGGUCGUAAAACUCUGUCUGAGCCACGGUGAACGGGGCUACGGGGGGACGUAGUGCGGGAUAU
rnacentral:rRNA from 1 species